AAGAGAUUUUCCGAAAAAUGAUUGGUUGUAUCGCUUAAAUUAACGAAUAAAUGAAUUUUUUUUUUUAUCGCCCAUGAAAAUAUCAAGGCAUAAAAUGUGGCCAAUAAUGAAAAUGUGCUCUGUUGGCUAAUUUUUCUAAGCGAUCUAAUCAAUCAUUUUUCGGGAGAUGUUUU
rnacentral:pre_miRNA from 1 species